rnacentral:rRNA from 1 species
CCUACGGGUGGCAGCAGUGAGGAAUAUUGGUCAAUGGGCGGGAGCCUGAACCAGCCAAGUCGCGUGAGGGAAGACGGUCCUAUGGAUUGUAAACCUCUUUAGUCGGGGAGCAAAGCCGGGCACGCGUGCCCGGAUGGAGAGUACCCGCAGAAUAAGCAUCGGCUAACUCCGUGCCAGCAGCCGCGGUAAUACGGGGGAUGCGAGCGUUAUCCGGAUUUAGUGGGUUUAAGGGGUGCGUAGGCGGAUUUUUAAGUCAGCGGUAAAAUGUCCGGGCUCAACCCGGGCCGGCCGUUGAAACUGGGGAUCUUGAGUGGGCGAGAAGUAUGCGGAAUGCGUGGUGUAGCGGUGAAAUGCAUAGAUAUCACGCAGAACUCCGAUUGCGAAGGCAGCAUACCGGCGCGCGACUGACGCUGAGGCACGAAAGCGUGGGGAUCGAACAGGAUUAGAUACCCGUGUAGUC